rnacentral:lncRNA from 1 species
AGGCACUUGAGAUAUGCAUUGUAAAUCCCCUUUGUUAAAGCUGUCCAUCACUAAGCCAUUGAAUUUUUGGACAAACUAGUCCAAAAUCAAAUCUAUCCAUCUUGGUUUGUCUCGUUGUGCUCUGAUAAGUUUUUUUAUAAACUUAUUUUGGCAUCCUCCUUAACUUGGCAUUUAGAUAAUUAUUUUUGGUCCAUUUCUGUUCCUUCUUAAAGUACCUCUCCAUGAAAACUAUGUCCAUGAAAUAAGAACCAGUACCCAGAAUAGUAGUGCUAAGGAUAUAAAAAUUGUGAACAGUACGGAUGGCAUUGCGGAUCUCAAAGAAAAGAGCGGUUGCUCCCAAAGGUAUCAUAAAUUUGUGUUUGGUAACUUGUUUUGGAAGGUUUUUACAUGAUUUUUAAGCUCUAGUUUAGCCCUAUAUAUGGAGGAACCCUUGUACUUAAAUUAUACAAAAUUUUAGAGAAUUAAACACUAAUUCUGUCUUGGGGAUUUUCUUUAAAUUCUGGUUUGUUUGAUUCUUAUGGAAGAGAAGACUUUUCAAUAACUUCUAAAUGAAGUUCAACAUUCUAAGAUUGAUCUCUAUUUUCUUGCCUAUACUCAAGGAAUAUGGGAAUGUACUCAAUCAAUAUCAUGUUUUUGUAAUUCAAGAAUGUUAUGCUAAACUUCAUUACACUAGAAUGACGAUUUAAACAUGGUUUAAAAUUUUAAUUUAAUUUUCCCAUUUUUGACAUCAAUUCAGCUUAGGUUGAUUGUUUGCUAAAUAUUUAUCUUGUUUGAAUUAUUGAUUACCCUUUAAAUGUAUUCAUGGCUUGUAUUGUUUCCUACAAGUCUCAAAUAAGUUUAGGCACAUUUUUAGCAAACAACAUAGAAAUUAAUAAGGAAUAGAGAUAUACUCUUAAGCAUUGUGCAGUCUAUGUUUGAAUGAUAAUUGAAAUUUAAUGUGCUUGUUGAUGGUAGAAUUACGGUCAACAAAUUCCUCUCACCUAACCAUAAUUUUCUCCUCUUAUACUCUCUGAUUUUGAUGCUUAAAAUGAAGCUAGAUUUGAAAUGAAUUUUUGGGAUAGAGAUAUUUGAAUGCGCAUACGUUUCUCCUCUUAGGCAAGUAUUUAUAGAUUUUCUUAGGGGUUUUGGGUCAUUCUAGAAAAAUGACAAGUGGCAAUUGUUUAGUAGUGGGCUAAUAACUAAUUAUGUUAUGUAUUCACGUGUUAUCCAAUAGUUUAAAAAGUCAUGCCUUUUAGAUUUGCCCAUAUGUAUUAAAAUAAUGGUUUUUUUUUUUUAUUUUUUGCCAUCAUUAAGAUGGUUCACCUUGCCUCUUUUGCGAGCCAUCUUUGGUUUAGCUACCUUUGUGCUUUCAGUCUUCGCCUAGGAUUGAAUUUCCAAGAUAGACUUCUUUUUUACAUCAGCAAAUAUUUCUCAAAGUCUGAUUUUAUUAUUCAUAUUAAAUCUAGGACUUGUAUAUUUGAACUGCAAAUCUACAGAUGGCCUUAUUUGAGCAUAUCUCUCCUUGUUUGUUGUGGAUGACAUGAGCUUAUGUUGAGGGAAUGCGUGAUCAUUAUAUAUGUUUUCUCCGUGCGUUAAUGGGCCUAUUUGCAUAUUUCUAGGUGGUAACCCACAUAUGCUCAACGUAGACUAUAUGAUCUCAUCCAUUCGUUGAGAAUCUUGAUCAAGUGCCUCUUAGUAAUCAAUGGUCAUGAUUGUUCAAAAUAAUUUGAAUGGCCUUGAUUAUUUAUGGAGUGAUUAUUUCUCCCGCCAUUCAUUUUCCUUCAAAGGCCCUUUCUUAGGUCCAUGUUUUGCUUUUAUCUUGUUUUCUGUAAGCUUUUUUUAUAAUGCCUUCUCAAAAUGAUUCCCAAAAUAUGUCUUAUGAUUUUAACCUCGAGAGCUCACAGUUUAAGAAUGACUUUCCUAGUGUUUCUUCUUCUUCUUCCAUCUUCCAUAGAAGUUCUAUAUAUUGAGGCGUUACCUUAUUAUGUAGUUACUUAUUUUGGUACUUGCCUUAACCUAGAGCUUCUUAGAUAAAGGGAUAGUUCUCAUUCUAAUAUUGAGGUGCGUGACGAGGUAUGUGAAACCUUGAGUGAAUCUACAAGCCUUAAUGAGAGCGAUGAGGGAAUUUUGGGAAUUUUCUAAGCUUCGAGAACUUUUACCAAUUUUAUUGAAUAGGACUUCAGUGAAAUUCGGGAAAGUUUUAACAUUUCUUUGAUAUAUAAUUAUUGUGUCCUGGGCAGUUUCAAACUACAUAUCGCCUCCUCAUGAUUGUAUAGCAAUUAUAAACACUCAAUGUUUGUAACAUUGCUCCUACCCAACUUACUCCAAAUGGGUAAAGACCAUAUAGUUCGGUCCUUUCUGUUAUAGAGUUUAGCGUGUUUAGAGGGAGAGCUGUCCUUGGAUGGAUUUUGAUCUAUUUAUCAUCUCGUAAAUGUUGAAAAUAAAGGAAAACCUCAANCGUGUUUAGAGGGAGAGCUGUCCUUGGAUGGAUUUUGAUCUAUUUAUCAUCUCGUAAAUGUUGAAAAUAAAGGAAAACCUCAAAAUGGAUAUUACUAGCUUUCUCUAAGUUGUUCCCAAAGUUUGUAAUUACUCCUAAUAAGGUGUAUAACUGGAAUGAGACUUUUUCUUUGUUCGAGGCAAUUGGAGUUUUCAAACUAAUGAUCCCAAUCCUUCUGUUAUUAUGUCUCGAUUAUAUGGUGAAUAAAAUAAGUGUUGGUUCUCUAUUCGUUCUCCCUUUUUAUACUUUCUUUCGUAUGUUGAUUGCUAUAGGUAAGCAGCGAAGAUCCCUUAAAAGUCAAGCUUUUAUUGAGCUUUAUGCUUUAGAAGCACCUAUAUUUGGCUUGAGUUCUGAAACUCGCAAAG